UACGUAGGGGGCAAGCGUUGUUCGGAUUUAUUGGGCGUAAAGAGCGUGUAGGCGGCCAGACAGGUCAGCUGUGAAAACUCGAGGCUCAACCUCGAGACGUCGGUUGAAACCGUCUGGCUAGAGUCCGGAAGAGGAGAGUGGAAUUCCCGGUGUAGCGGUGAAAUGCGCAGAUAUCGGGAAGAACACCCGUGGCGAAGGCGGCUCUCUGGGACGGUACUGACGCUGAGACGCGAAAGCGUGGGGAGCGAACAGG
rnacentral:rRNA from 1 species